rnacentral:rRNA from 1 species
UACGUAGGGUGCGAGCGUUGUCCGGAAUUACUGGGCGUAAAGAGCUCGUAGGUGGUUUGUCGCGUUGUCCGUGAAAAACUCACAGCUCAACUGUGGGCGUGCGGGCGAUACGGGCAGACUGGAGUACUGCAGGGGAGACUGGAAUUCCUGGUGUAGCGGUGGAAAUGCGCAGAUAUCAGGGAGGAACACCGGUGGCGAAGGCGGGGUCUCUGGGGCAGUAACUGACGCUGAGGAGCGAAAAGCGUGGGGGAGCGAACAGG